rnacentral:lncRNA from 1 species
GAAUAUGGAGAACAGUUGCUUGACAAUUUUCUCAUUUAACAACAAUUACGUUUUUAGAUACCUAAAUGAUGUUAAGGCAGCUCUUUAAAACAUUGCUUUGCUGAAGCAACCUCAUUCUUCCAGUGGUAGAGAACAUAAUUCCGUAUAUUUGUGGGGGUGGUUGGGUGUGGAAUGACCAAAGCUUUAUUUCGGAAGUUCUCUGUCACUGAAAGUGCCCUGAUAGAAAUAAAGCACUUAAUGAGGUCUUGGACAGGUGCUGCCCGCCCAGCAUUCUUGCUGAAACUCUCCCUGUGCGUCACUGGCUCCUGGGCGCGAUGUUUCAGCGCCGCGGCUCUCGGAGGCUGCCAGUGGCUGGGUGCGCCUGGCCUGAGUCCUCCACCCGAAGAAAAUAAGGAACCUGGCCAGAGAGAGGCAAAAGGAAGAGUCUGCUCCUCAUGUUCCUUCUUGCUGUGGUUUUACCCUCGCCACUUAUUUCGUGGUCAUUCAUUGAAAGGCACAGAAGCAACACUGCAAAUAUCACAAAUCUCCAGCACCGUAUGCUGUUACUCUGAGCUGGAUUUUUUGUUCUUUUGUUUGCAUAGAUUAUUCUGCUUUUAAUCUUCAAAAUCUGCGCAUGAAAGGGGACUGCACAGAAUUUUUUUUUUCUUUUUGAGAUGGAAUCUCAUUCUGUCUGUCACUCAGGCUGGUGUGUG